GAGCUCUCUCGCGUCAGGCAGCGGCGUUGUGAAAAUCCUCUCGAUUCAGGUGUCCGGAUAGCGCUCACGAAGUGGUAAACCUGGCGCAACACUCUGACGCCGUAGUGGGGAGUGUACCAUGAUCGAGCCAAGAUGGAGAACAAUUCGUAGUUUUCUAUUUCUAUCGAUACAUUCGUUUACGUUUUCCAGCACCCCAUGUCCGACGAACCCUUUCGACGCCACAUAACGAAUUAGCCAUCCACGAUGAAAUUUCUCGGUGUAGUAUCAAGAUAAUCAAUAAGUUUCAGCGAUUGAUUUGCAACUAUCGCAUAAUGGAAGCGACAAAUUUAUUUUCUCGUCUCUCAGUUCUAACCAUUGGUCACGACACCCUAUAUGCGUCAUCGAAACUCAUUUCUUUGGACAAUUAGCUUUCUUUUCGAUCGCUUUCCAGUUCGAUUGCUCAACAGCUAAUAAUUACAUUCGAACUCGCAACGUUACUCGUUGCAAGGUAUCGGGAGAGCAGCCCGCUAGGGGUUGAUUCGAGCCAUUGUCGGUCGAACGAUGUUUGGCCGUUGUCGAGCACGGCGGGACGCACGAUUAAUGAUACGUUUCAUACUCGUUUUCGUUCAUUGUCGAUGUUAAUCGAUUACUGGUCCCGCGAGAGCACGAGUUCCAACGCCAUUAGUUAAGAUUGGAAUAAAUUUCGGGUGAAAGUGGUCUAGGGCCUAAGGGUCGAUCGAUCCUCCCAGUGAUAAAUUUACCUGUCAAUUAACUUCGUUUCACCUUUCAGUUGUUCGAGAUAAUAGUCCGACGCUCGCUGGUGUAGGACCGUAGUUAAAAUUGUGUGCAAUGGACCGUUUGUAAACAAAUCGAUGGAUCUUAAAAAUCAGCUCGUUGCACGAGAUAGGAAGAACACAGAUUAGUUUCGUGGAUAUUUCGAGGAACUUUGGCAUUUUGCGCUCGUGUCAAAUAUCGUGCGAGAAGUUGAAAGUAUCGUCGCUUAAUUAACGGACUUUCUGCAAAGCGAAAACCAGUCAGAAGAAGAGGCGUACUUGGAAACGUGUACGGUAUCAAUUGAACUGUGAAAAUUUUUGCAACAAAUAUCGGGACAGGAAUCUAUUCAACUGGCCGCCAUUCAUUUCGUCUUAAGAACGUUAUCGAAGGAUUGUCAUAACCCGUGAAAGUAAGUGUCGUUUCGCAAUACUUUCAUGUUAUCAAACCGUAUUAGGUCUUCUCAGGAUUCAAGAUCGGUCAUUUGAUAUGCAAUACGCUAAUAGUUCCGAGAAUCCUGUACACGGUUUUAAGAAUUUCUUCUUCUUCCUGGACUUGCCGUGACGUCGCGACGUAUAUGCCUUUCUUCUCUUUUGUUUUUCUCGUUUUCUAUUAUCUUCUCCUUCUCUCGGUACUCUAUUCCUCUCUCGUUGGAUGCUGUUCCUCUCAGAAAGUCCCUUCGAAGAGGUAGGGCACGCGAAUGUGGGAGGGAGAGUUUCCGGUCGCCCACGCGACUCUGCAACAACCACUUCGCCGAGGUAUCAGGGACAAAACACGGGCCGGCGGAUGUCUCUUCUCUUCUGGGCAAAUGAAGAAGUCGCCUCACAUUCGGCAAAUAUAAUGAAAGCUCCCUGUUUCGUUUUCGCAUCCGUUCCAUGACCUGCCGACAGAAAUUCCUCUCGUUCCAUUUCUUUUCCAGCGGCGCCUAUUACCGAAUUUUGCAAAAACUGAACUUAUUUCGCAUCAGGUUCGAUCACCUGAAUUCGACACAGUUAAUAACACGAAGGAAAUAGUAAUUGCACGGAACUUCUCUGACGUAGGUGAUGAAAUUAGAAGAUGGACGAUGAAGGCAUCCGCGUUUGCAAUAUGCUUCGAACGAAUAGGAAUUAGAAAGCUCAUGGAAGGAGGCAAAGGAGGCAAGUCCUACGAAGGGUACAUAGCCGCGUUGCCACCGUGAAGCAAUAGAAAGGCUGCAGAGCGGGAAAUUGUUUGGCCGCGGCCGAUUCCAACGGUACAUUGGAACCACUCGACAGAGAAAAAGAGAACGAGAGAGAACAGACUCUUCUGGCCAGCUCCGCGUACGCACCACCCACCACGAAGUACUCGAGGAACGAGGAUUAUUCGUCCUUCGAGAGGAGAAUUCGGUGCUAAAGCCAUCUUCUUCGUCGCCUCCCUGUUUUCGUUUUCUUCCUUCGUCUCUCUUUUUUUCGUUCACCGUUUGGUCGGAACCAUCUAGCGGAAAAAGAAAGCGACCCAGAGAUUCUUAGGGGCGUCGAGGCGACCGUGCGAAAUCGACUUCACCGCGAAGAUCACGGUAAUAUUGAAUAAUAAUACGAUAUAAUUUAAUAACCGUGCCGCUGGAUGAUGCUUAAUGACGAUAAUGCUCGAGUACGACGGCCACCUAAGAUCAGCAGGGAGGCAGAAAAGUUUGCAGGUUGUUCCGCUUAAUCGCGUGUUUAUAUACGCUAUAGAUAAAUAUAUCCUUUCUCUUGCACGUUGUAAGCUCAAUUAACGAAAUGUACGCUGUUCAUUUCGUGAACAACGAUCAUCGAUUAAAGUGUUCGUUUACAUUGGCCUUCGCGACGAACCUUGGAACAAAGGUACGAACAAAAGGGACCACCGAACGGCGAGCUUGUAGGCUGCACGCUGUUCCGCGACUGUGAAGAUAGACAAUGGAUCAGAGAGGCUGGUUAUCCAAUGCGGUCAUAUUAAGUAACCGCGAGGCUGGUUCAUAAUCGCGAUCGUAUCUGACCGUAAGAUGUCCCAACUUAUAGGCAGCGUAUCUCGAGAAUUUAUGUCACGGGUUGCACGCCAAUAGUUGGUCGCUAAACCGGACGAAAGACGACCGAAUCGUUAAUCGACGAUGAUUGCACGGAAAGUCGUAGGGAAGGAAAGGAUUCCGUUGCGAAUAACAGGAAUGUAGGACGGUAGGAGCCGUCGGUGAGGUUUCAAGGGCAAAAAGAUUUAUUGGAAAUGGUGCAUUUAAUUGCUUUUAAACGAUACUCAUCUCCGCGACCGUAAUCAACGUUGCGUCACGGUUGCAGGUAAUCGGCGUGGACUUUACGAUUACCUAUACGAUCGCGAGGGUACUCGAAGAGCACGCAAAACCAGAGAAACCACCGAUGUUCGGAUAAAAGUACGAGGAGCAGGCUGCUCGAUCGUGUCCCAGAGAUCGCUCCCCGAUGGAUUUAUAUUGGCAGUCGAUUAAAUUUCUUCGAGCAAUUUACAUCGGCUGAUUUAUCCAUCGAAUCGAAUCGGUCGUAAAUAAGUGUAGCGUGCGGUGCGUGGUGCGCGUCGAGUAUCACCGUUUACGACUGAAUCGACAGAAAAAGACAGAAGCGAGGAAGGUUGAGAGAAAGAAAGGAGAAAACGGAGGAAUCUGGGAAGCGGAGGUCCCGAAGAGUCGUAAUUUCGCAGCGAAUCGCGAGGGUGAGGACGCUGCCUCGAAACGGCGAGGAACAGUGGACAAACCGAGCGACGCGUCGCUGGACUUCGACCGCGCGACGCCACCGGAGAAGGAGAAAAGACGGGAGGAACAGGGACGUGCCGGAGGAAAAAAUAUAAAAAAGAAAAACGACCGGGUAAAUAAAGAUCGACCCGUCUCCCACGCCCGUGACCAUUGUUAUUAUAUAUCCCGUGGGGUAUUGUUCCCAUGGGAAAACUGGACAGGCCCGUUCUACCACCUAUAAGACACCGGCCAGCGAGAGAAUAUGCACGCACACACGCUUUUACUCGAGCCACGCCAGACUUCAGGUAACACACUCUUCUCUCUCUCGUCUCGGAGACGCGUGUGCUGCUCGCACGCGCGCAACCGAGCAAACGUGUAGCACACGCACGGGACAGGCCGCACACUCGAGCGCAGAUUUCAGAUAUUGUGGGGGGCGUUCACCUCGCAUCUCGGUCCUCGUGGUUCUCUCGUGUGAGAGUACACACGAACGGUCAGCGCGUACGCUCCUAUCUAUGUAUUUCGUCUCCUCUACGUUUCCGUGCAAGGCGUUGCAACGAGUAUCCUCGCGUGCCUGUGUACGUUGCACGGUGUAUAUGGUUGGUCUUACGCCGUUGGAACGCACACACGCGACAGAGCCAUGUUCGUACAGGCAACGGAGGUACUUCGGUGGAUGCUUGAGGAACAGGGUGCGGCUCAACCCACCUCGCUUGACUUACCUACCCGUAUUACCGUCUAGGUAGGUAUAUCCAGGCGCGAGCCACGCAGGAUACUAUGCCAUAUUUGCAUCCGUGAUCCAGGACACGUGUGUAUCCACGGGAGCGCGUGUGCGUUCUUUUUUUCUUCUUUCUCUUUCUUUCUCUUACCCUCUCGUAUCGUUUCCCUUCGUCUACGUGGACCAUUGCCUUCGCCGUGAUGCACCACCGCUCGUGAUUCUCUCCGUGUCUCUUUUACUCUUUCCUCCUUUUCUUCUUUUCCUUAAUUUUUAUCUUUUUCAUUUCGCUUUUGUCUCUCUUACGCGUACGAAAGUAUUCUCUCCUCCUUCGUCCUACUACGGAAGAUUAUAAAUUUGCAUGAUCGUGGACGUACAAAGAUGCACCAAGUUCAACAUUCGUUCCUAUAAAACAGGACUUUCGAGGUAAUGUCGAUAAACGAAUAUUUAGUUCUUAUUCUCUUUUCUAACUUUCUUUCUGUUUACAGCGUAAAUACCGUAACUGCGUAGAAAAGAAAAUCGUGUCUGGUUACGCAAAAAUUUGCGAUGGACUCGAUUGGAGAGGCGAGGCGGCUGGUCGAAUGUCACGGACGCGUCGAUAAUCAAU